ACCUUAGAGACCAAUCCCCAAUUACCCAAAAUCCUAAUUCAUUUCCACCUUGACCAGUCGCUUAUUUUCCCUUUUUCUCUCUAUUCUCUCACCUGCUAUAGCCUUCAUCAAUCACAAGACCUUCACAAAUCCAUGCAAGGUCAGCAAAUCAGCCACGAAAUCAUCCAGUUUGCCUCCUAAAACCGCGAAUCCCGCCGGCACACUUCCAUUAUCGUCACUCAAAUUCAAAACGCCCAAAAUCCGAAACCCUAGCUUAAAAUUGAAACUUCAAAAUCGAUUGAUAGCUCCAUCAAAUCGGAGCAUGCAUUUAGUUAUUCUUAGAGUUUCAUCAUGAGUAUUCGAUGUUCAAAGUUCAAACACAUUGACCUCUGGACAAUAAAGCCUUACCGAUGGAUUUAUCCCAUCAACGGUUGCUUCUGAAAUUUAAAUUGCUCAGGUAAAAUCCCUCAUUGAUUUUACCCCGCGUCUUCUAUGAUUUUACUCACUUUUCAUCCGUCAUCCGAUCUUCGACAUUUUCCACUCACGAUUUUGAAUAUGUUGGAACCCUAAUCAUUGAUUGACACUAUAAAUAGAGGCUUUAAUAUCCUUCACCUAUGACAAACCUACCACACCUAACAAACAAAAACACACACUGAGAAUCAUUUCACACACAAUUGAAAUCUUAGGUUUUUUAAAUGAUUUUUCACUUUUUUCCUCGCUUUUCUAUGUCUGAGUCUGUUCAUUGUUCGAUGUUUGAGUUUUUGGUUUCUAAAAGGCAAAACAAAAGACUAUGUUUGGUUUGCUGCUGUGAGGAAGGUUUGUGUCUACUGACCCCCUCCCCUCCUUCUUUUGUUGUUUAAGUUAUAAUCAUUCUUACUAUGUUGUCUUUUCUAUUUGUAUUUUCUUAAUCAUGUAUGCUAUUAGCUUAUCAUUGAAUUUUAUCUUCAUUGUAUGAGUCAACUAUUUUCUCUAAUGAUUUGGAGUUAUGUUAAUGCUAAUCGACUAUCCUUGUGAACUAUGCUUCUCUAAGUUGAACAAUCUGAACUUUGCUAGUCAAUGAGCCUCAAUGGUUCUCUGCACAUGUCUUGGUCUGAGACCUUUCUGAUAUAUUAUUGGGAGUUCAUGUCUCUUGCACCUGUCUUACAUUGAUUAGGACUGCUGCCUGCUGAUUUGUGCCAUGUAUUUGACUUUUGCUUUGAUAAUGUUAGAACUAUAGUAGUUGUGUACACUUAGAGGUUUAAUACAAGUCUGCUAUUAUAGUCACCACCUCAGUUGCUAGUUUCCAUACUAUUCAAGUCUGUCUUGCAAUCGUAUAGCUCCUUAAACACCAAAAAAUGUCUCCCGUUACUCCUCUUGGUCAUGUGACUGCUUAGCUACAGAUAUAGACUCUACUGGAUAAAUAACUUCUAAAAGUGAUUAACCUAAGUCUUAAUGAAUUUCUGAGGUUAAAGGUUGUGGUAACUCCAUAUUUUAUCCUGUCAGUUGCUACCUUGCUCAUUAGUCUAGUUUAAACCAUGUUCUUAACUCUCUUUAAGAGUUUGGUUAAGAGUUAUAAUUAUUUCCUUAUCAUCUCUUGGAUUAGCUAUGUUGUUAACAUGUCCAAAUAUUGAAUUUUAUCAUGGUGCCUAUGUUGUCACACCUGCCUGCAUACGUGAGUUGAUUGAUCUAUUACUGGAACCAUAUUUGUCUAAUACAUGUAAAACCUGCAUGUUCUUAUAGUCUAGACCUCUAUAAUGAGCAUAAUAAUUUGAGCAUAGAUCAUCUACUCCUCUUCUAUAAUCUAUAACCUUUAAGUUCAUUAGGAAAAUCACUUAUAUGUAUUUGAAUAUGCUCUGCCAGGUCUCUACUCCUAGUUGUUUGUUAAUAUACUUCCUGCUUGUCUUUCAUUCAAGAGACAUUCAUGUUAGUGCUCUCAUGUUUCUCCCUUAGAACUGUAUUAUCAUAUAAAGAAGAAGCUGAAUCUUGUUAACAACAUAGAAUUUGGAAUAUAAGUUAACUGUGAUCACUAAUGAACUUAAGGGUAACCCAUGAAUAUUUGUUUGCCUUGUUUGAAUUAAUACCGUACCAUGCUUAGUUGGAUACUUUGGCUCUUAAAAGCCUAAUGUGAAUCUGAAUUAUGAACCUGAUAGGAUAAUUAUCAUGCUACCAAGUUAGGAUUAGAGUAAGACUAACCUUCUUGUCUACAUAAGUAUCUCUGUUGAUGUUGUUCCCCUUUAGAAAUCCUGGACAAGAUUGUUAGUCCACACAUCUAGGAAAAGAUGAAGACUUAACCAAUGUGUGUGAACCUUUGAUCAUUCUAUACAUAGUCUAGUAGUUGUUGAUAUUAUGUGAAUGCAGUUAAGGGUCGUUGCAUGUUUGGACCUAUCAGUAGUAUUAGUAAGGCUAUGAUACAUGUCUGCUCUACCUCCCUAGAUCAUUUAACUUAGUAUUUUAAACUUAAGUUAGUCUACUGGUGACUGCUAUGACCUCUUCUUGUUCACAUUUGUUGUUGGUUCCUUCAAGUGUCCUGAUAAUUAUUUUUGAAUAAUAGUGUAAAUACCUGCAUCAGCCUACAUUCUUAUGUUUGAAUUAAUGUUGAUAAUGUUCAUAUCCUUAAGCUCUGCAGAUAUUAUUUUAUGUAGGUUCUGUAUCCAUAUGUAUUACCUGAAUAUGUAUGUUUAUUGCUGCUGUUGUAGUGGUUACUACAGUGAAUGUCUCAUUUGCAACUAAACUUGUAGGGAUGAGUGAGUGUAAAUGGUUAAGGGUAUUUGUGAGUGUGAUCUAGUUUGUGGUUGGGAUGCCCUCCCUGACACAAGCACUCCUCGGAGUCAUUGGCACCCUUAUGAACUCUGAAAUGCCAGGAAUCCAAAGGGUGUCUUGCCCAUGAAUGAAAUUUUGCCCUAAGCUCCUAAUCAUUGACACUUAUUAAUCUCUUUAGGAUUAAUGCAAAUGAAUAUGGCUUCACUAUGAUCGUUAGUUUUGCUUACUCUUUAACUACUUUAUCUUAUUGGGCCUUACCCUGUCUUUACUGCACCCUUAGUCACAAUAUUUGUUAUCACUUAUUGGGCAUCUUGUACCAUUACUAAUGUCUUUCUUUUCUUUUGAAUGAAUGAUCGAACUGUGCCUGCUGAGAUCUCUAGAACUCAGGCCCAAGUUCCAGCACAAAGUCUGUCGCGUAUUCGAAAUCUUCUAGGCCUAAUUCUCUUUUGUGCUCAAAUUUCGAGUCCAGAUCCCUUCCUUCCCUCACUAUUAGUUAAAUUGAACUUGUUACCUUUGUUCUGUAUAUAUUAUGACACUAACAAUAUUGUUGAAUAUUUUAUUAUGCUUUAAUCAUUUUAGAAAUCUAGCCAAGCCAAGGCCCAUAAGUAAUUAAAAGAAAACCACUGUUAGACUAUCUUAGUUAUAAAGCUUCAACACUUUGGUCAUUUGUUUUCACAAUACAAGAUUUCAUUUUUAAUCACGCUAAUCGUUUCUUUGAAGUUCAAAACAGAUUUGAAAGGCAAGCAACUCUUCUUUUAAGCCGGAAUCGAAAAGGUGAUUUUGAAGUAAGCUUUCUACAAACAAAAAUAUCAAACACGGUUGAAAUCAAGGAUUAUCAAACCUCAACGAGCUUUCAUCGAAAAACAUGGCUACUAAUUGAAAUCAACUUCCAAAGGUAUAUAACGUUUCCUAAUAGUCUUUUAUCCUACUGGAUUUACACAAACAACCAUGCUAUUUCAUAAAGAAAAAAUAUUCAAAACAUAUUCAUAUUUUCAAGCCUUCUCAAUUCUUGUAAACAUUUUUUAAAAGACUUUUACAAAUUAAAUCCAUGAUCUCUUUCCAAAGUACAUAUACUAUUUUCUUUCAAAUGAUGGACUUUAAACAAAGACAUAGAGUAUGCCACAAACCUUUAAAGCGCUAACUAAGUAGAACAUAGGCAUCUAAUUCCCUAAACCUAGUCUAAGUCCUAAGGAGCUACCUCAGGUAGAUUUUAGGGGGUGCCUAACACCUUCCGUUUAAAAGAACAAGAACCCUUACCCAAAUUCCACCGGUUACUAGCUAUAGGAUAAUAAUCUAAUAAAUGAAUAGGUACCUUAGUAUACCUUUAAAUAUUAUGCGGUAACUUUUUUUCAUCGAAAGCAGGAAAAGCACUAGUUGAAUCUUGUUUCGACUCGUGGUAAAUAGGGUGCAACAACACGGCGACUCCACUGGAGAUUUUUAGAUUUAGGUCCUGACCUUAGAAGACUUAGACUAGAUCUAGAAUUUAGGGAUGUUUCCUUAUAUACUGCUUAACUGUGCUUAAUUUUGCAAAUAUGUGCUUACUUGUCUUAUUUGUUUAGCAUGUAGUUAUAUGCCUGUUUUAAUAUUAUUACCGUUAUCCCAACUAUUUGUUAGCACUUUAUAUACACUGGCACCACAUUCUUUCCUAUCGAGUCUUGGUCGUACACUAUCACACACAAUGGCACGCGAGGGUUGUCUUUUACACCCCUUCGAAACUUCUUUCAAAUUCUCUAGUUUCAGAGAAUGACUUUCUCAGGUCAACUGAGAUAACGUCUCGCCGUAUUUAGUCCAACUCCAAGAAUUAUGAAACACUAUUCUCUAGAAAACAUAGGUCAUAUUGCAUAAACCAUAGGUGAGUGGGCCUUGGCAUUGACUUACGAUUAGGAAGGCCACCGUAAUGUCAACGGCCAAUGCACCCAAUGACUUGUCUUUUGUGGAAUGACGAACCAAUCCAGGUGAGAUGCUAAAGAUCUGGAGAAAACACUUACCAAACCCCUUUUUCACAUCUUCAGAAUGGAAAUCAACCACAACAUCCCCGAAAUCAAUAUGUUAAUGGAAGCACCACACAAAUUGAAACAAUGGGGGAUAAAUAUUCGACAAGAUCAUCUAGAUGAAAUCAGAACGCACAUGGGAGCAUUGACCGCUUUAAUGAACAUCCGAGCCAACAAAGUCCUUACCAGAGUGCUGGUGGAAUUAUGUUGUCACUCCCCAACCUCUGGGAGCACGACCGGCGCUCCAACGAGUGAACCUGGUCGAGCAAGCCUAGUAAACCUUUCCUACCCGACUCAUUCAUGAUCCAAAAUGGGAAUGUGUCACCAUUUGUAAAACAGGGGAGAGAUCAGUUAUAUAAAUAUAUAAACGUUACUAGUUCAUUUUUUAUUAUAUACAUUAUGCCAUAGUUAAAUUUCCAAAAUACAACUCGGUCCAAUGACCACCCCAACAUACAUACAUGACCCACAUAAAUAUCUACAGAGCCUCUAAGGGUACAAAAGAGCAACACGACAAUGCCGGCAACAAGGCCCAGGCUAUACCUCAAAAUAUGAAAACUUAUACAAAAUAAGGACUACAUGACCCCAGGAAGAAAUGGGGCUCACCAAGACCGCUGUGAUGAGUGAGAGGGAGAGCACCACUAUCAGCGAUCAGCGCUAUCUGCGAUAGAACCACCUACAUCCNNNNNNNNNNNNNNNNNNNNNNNNNGUCCGAUCUCGGCCCGAUCGGCUAAGCCAUCUCACUUGAGACACAACCUCUUUCAAUUGUUCACUCAAUUCACAACUCUUUCCCAUCUUUCAUUACAUGGUACAAACAACCUCAUUUAUUAAGUAGUUCUUGGCACUUUGGUACAUUUUACAAUUCAAGUCUUUCCCUUUUUAUUCAUUCAAGUAACAUCAUCAUUCAUGUCGAUAAGUACCAUCACAUAAGGCAUUUCACACAUAUGGGAAGGAGCUUGGAAAAUCAUAGUUACGUUCUCAAUUAGCAUGAUGACAUGGUAAACAUCUAAAACAAUUGGGGAACAUGAAUCUUCCAACACAACACACUAAGGCAAACAAUUCUAGUAUGAUCAAGUCGGAACUUACACCAAAUAUUCGGACACCUGGAGUUCGAUUCUAGGAAGAAAAGAGUUAGACAUACAUACCUCAAUUACGCUUCUUUAGACUCUACAAUUAUCCGGAACCCUUAGCAACCUCAAUCUAUUUUUGCAAUAUACAAAUUGAACCCAAAAUUAGGAAAAUGUUCAUAGUUCUAGUUCACUUUUUAUUUUUCCCACUCUUUAUCACAUGCAUGCAAGAUAAACAACCCUCACACCCAUGGACCAUCUUAUUAAUAUCCCAUUAUAGCUAUGUUUGAAAUUAAGAGUUGGGGUGAUGAAGUCUUAACUUUUUGGAUGAAGAAUUUGGUGCUCUACUUGAAUAUUUCCAAGCUUUGAGUGAUGGUUGAAGAUUAAUUGAUGGGAAUUAGGCCCUCCCUCUAGAACCCUCUCUCUCUCACACUAGAAAUACCAAAAAUGAGCUUCAAAAUAGACUAAAUGGGUGUUUUAACGGAAUGAGGGUCAGAUUUUAAAUUAAGAAAAAUGGUGCCCCGACACAGGCCUGCGGUUGCAUAUGACCGCAUAAUGGUUAUGCGGACCGCAAAGUGACCGCAGAAAUGGCCCUCAAGGGCCUGAACUUACGGCCCAGGUAUGCGACCAGUAUGCGGUCCACAUACUCGUUCUGUGGUCGCAUAAUGCACCGCAAAAACCCAAGAAGGGUUAUGCGAUCGAUAUGCAGUCCGAAUAGUGGUUAUGCGGUCGCAUAAUCGACCGCAAAGCUGACCUCAAAUUGGCCAACAUACUGCUUCACUCAUGCGAUCUGCAGAGUGAUUAUGCGGCCGCAUAAUGUGCCACAGAAACGCAUCCUUUUGCGAAACACUUUCCUCUAAGUCCGUGGGGUAUUGUUCAAUCCAAAAAGUCUGAACCCUACUGCUUCCCCAGAUAUUUCUCUUGGCACCACGAAACCCCGAGUUUUUGGUUUAAAUUUUUACGGGUCCUUACAUCCUCCCCAACUUAAGAUCAUUCAUCCUCGAAUGAGGAUCAAGGUUUUCUUAACACAUUUUCAGUUGUACCACGUAACAUCAGCCCCAUAUUUGCCUAACUUCCUAACUUUCUGAAUAUUUUGCUAGAAUUUCCUUUGUAUUUAGGCUUAACCACCUGUCAGAGAGCCCCCAAAACACACCUUAGCAACAUAUAUAGAAUUAAAUGACACAACAUAAUGCAAAAUACCACCAACCGAAGCCUCAUGGGGGGACAUAUAACUAGAAAGUAGUGUCUUUAUAUUAGCCGAACAAGUGAUACAAAAUUUUGGGGGAGGGGGGGGGGGACAACUUUAUAGAGAUAUUACAUGGAUAUUUAAAUAAAUGAGGGUACUUCUUUUUCAUUUCAUUCUCAGCUUCCCAAGUAGCUUCUUCGACUUGCUGGUUUCGCCAUAAUACCUUUACAGAUGCAAUUUCUUUGUUCCUCAACUUCCGGACCUAUCUAUCAAGGAUAGCAACCGGAAUCUCUUCAUAUGACAGUUCUUCACUAACCUCGAUGGUCUCAACCGGCACAAUAGCGGACGGAUCUCCAACUACCUUCUUCAACAUGGACACAUGGAAUACCAGGUACACUAAUGACAUCUCAGGUGAUAGCUCAAGCUUGUAUGCCACCUGACCUAUCCUUUGAAUGAUUCUAUACGGUCCGACAUACCUCGGACUUAAUUUCCCUUUCUUUUCAAACCGCAUGAUCCUCUUCAUGGGGGAUACCUUCAAGAACACCCAAUCAUCUUCCUUGAAUUCUAAGUCUAUACGACGAACAUCCGAAUAGGAUUUUUGACGACUCUGAGCAGUUUUCAACCGCUCUUUUAUGAUCUUAACCUUUUCCAUAGCCUGAUGCACAAUGUCUGGUCCUAUUAGUUCCGGUUCUCCAACCUCGAACAACCCAAUCGGUGAUCUACAUCUUCUACCAUACAAGGCCUCAAAUGGUGCCAUCUAAAUACAGGCAUGGAAGCCGUUGUUAUAAGCAAAUUCUAUGAGCGGAAAAUGAUCAUCCCAGCUACCCUUGAAGUCAAGCACCAACGCGCGCAACAUGUUCUCAAGCGUCUGAAUAGUCUGCUCUGCUUGCCCGUCAGCCUGUGGAUGGAAAGUCGUGCUAAUAUUUACCUGCGUACCCAAACCUUGCUACAAUUUCUUCUAGAAAUUAGCUAUGAAUUGGGCCCCUCAAUCAGAAAUGAUGGAAACUAGAGUGCCAUGAAGCCUGACUAUUUCCUUGAUAUACAAUUGAGCAUAUUGUUCCGCAGUGUCGGUAGACUUAACUGGCAUGAAGUGUGCUGAUUUUGUGAGUCGAUCCACAAUCAUCGAAAUUGAGUCAAACUUACGCGGAGUGCGCGGUAAUCCUACCACAAAAUCCAUAUUGACCAUUUCCCNNNNNNNNNNNNNNNNNNNNGAUAGUUUGAACAUUUUUGCCACAAAAGUCCGCCACACCCCUCUUCAUGUCAUUCCACCAGUAAACUUCCUUGAGAUCAUGAUACAUUUUUGUAGAACCUGGGUGCACAGAAUAUCUAGAAGUAUGAGCUUCUGCCAUGUUUCUUUUCCGAAGACCAUACACGUUUGGAACACAUAGUCAUCCUUGGUACCGUAAUGUACCGUCAUCCAUGCCAAGAGAAAAAGCCGUAGUCUUGUGUUUAUGAAUCCCUUUCUUCAGCUGCACCAACACUGGAUCAUUGUAUUGCUUCUCCUUGACCUCCAUCACAAGCGAUGAUUCUGCCCUAUUCCGCACAAUCACUCCCCCUUCAUUAGAGUCGGCAAGACGAACUCCCAAACUGGCCAACUGGUGAACCUCCCUGGCCAAGGGCCUUUGACAUGCCUCCAAGUGAGCCAAACUACCCAUAGACUUCCGACUAAGAGCAUCCUCCACCACAUUAGUUUUCCCCCGAUGAUACAAAAUGUCGAUGUCAUAAUCUUUGAGCAAUUCGAUCCACCUUCUCUGCCUUAAGUUCAAUUCCUUUUGCUUAAAAAUGUACUGAAGACUCUUGUGGUCUGUGAAUACAUCUACAUGCACCCCAUACAAAUAAUGACGCCAAAGUUUUAAUCCAAAAAACACCGCCGCAUACUCUACGUCAUGAGUUGGAUAGUUCUUUUCAUGAUUCUUAAGUUGCCUUGAAGCAUAUGCUAUAACCUUACCAUGUUGCAUUAAUACACACCCAAGACCGAUCCUUGAAGCAUCGCAAUACACCAUAAACCCCUCGAUACCGUCUGGCAGGGUCAUUACCAGCGCCGAAGUCAAUCUUGAUUUCAAUUCCUGGAAGCUCCUUUCACAAGUAUCAGACCACUGGAACUUAACCUUCUUCUGCGUCAAUUUAGUCAACGGGGAGGCAAGAGUGGAGAACCCCUCCAGAACCUUCUAUAAUACCCGGCUAAACCCAAGAAACUAUGAAUCUAUGUUGGAGUAGUAGGUCUAGGCCAAUCUUUCACCGCUGCAAUCUUUUGAGGAUCAACCUUAAUUCCUUCUCCGGAGACGACAUGACCCGGGAAUGUAACAGAUUCAAGCCAAAAUUCACAUUUCGAGAACUUUGCAUAAAAUUGGUGUUGAUGAAGAGUUUGCAGAACUGCCCUAAGGUGAUCGGCGUGAUUCUCUCGACUUCGUGAAUACACAAGGAUGUCGUCAAUGAAUACUAUCACGAAGGAGUUACGGAACGGCUUAAAGACUCGAUUCAUAAGAUUCAUGAAAGCUGCCUGGGCAUUUGUUAUCCCGAAAGACAUUACCAAAAAUUCAAAGUACCCAUACCGGGUUCUAAAAGCUGUUUUCAGAAUUUCCUGCUCCCUUACCUUCAAUUGAUGGUACCCGGACUGCAAAUCAAUUUUGGAGAAGAACUUAGCACCUUGUAAUUGAUCAAACAAAUCAUCUAUUUUAGGUAAUGGGUAUUUGUUUUUUAUUGUGACUUUGUUGAGUUGCCGGUAAUCAAUACACAUCCGCAGCGAUCCAUCUUUAUUUCUGACAAAGAGAACCGGUGCGCCCCAAGGCGACACACUCAGUCGGAUGAAACCUUUCUCUAGAAAAUCCCCUAGUUGUUCCUUUAGGUCUUUUAAUUCUACCGGCGCCAUUCUAUAAGGUGGAAUGGAUAUAGGUUGCAUGCCUGGCAUCACAUUAAUCCCAAAAUCAAUCUCCCUGUCUAGAGCAAUUCCAGGGAGCUCAUCCAAAAAUACAUCGGGGAAUUCAUUCAAAAUUGAUACAGAUUCAACGGUAGGCACCUCAUCAAUGGUGUCCGCAACUCGGACCAAAUGAUAAAUACACCCCUUCCUGAUCAUCUUCGUGGUCUUAAGGUGAGAAAUAAAACUACCUUUUGGCAUAUCAUUAUUCCCCUCCCACUCAAUAGCUGGCUCGUUAGGAAACUCAAGCCUCAUGAUUCUUGCUCGGCAAUCGAGUUUGGAAAAAUAUGAAUAUAGCCAAUCCAUUCCCAUUAUUAUAUAAAAAUCAAUCAUCCCUAGUUCAAUAAGAUCGGCCAUGGUAUCCCGACCACGCACCGUGACAACACAAUCCCUAUAAACCCAUGUGGCCAUAAUAUACUUGCCAACCGGAGUACAUACAGAGAACGGCUCAUGAAGCUAUUCCGGUUCUAUCCCAAAGCUCGUAGCAACAUAAGAAGUAACAUAGGACAAAGAAGAUCCGGGAUCAAUAAGGGCAUACACAUCAUGAGAUUGAACAGUCAAUAUACCUGUGACGAUAUCUGGGGAAGCCUCUGCACUCUGUCGACCACUUAUAGCAUAUAAUCGGCUGGGUCCUCCCGAACUCUGUGUACCACCCCUAGCUGCACCAUGCCCUAUGGGUGCUGGAGAGCCUUGAGCUGGAGGGGUGCUGAAGAUGUAGAAGCUGUAGGACUGGAUAACUGAGUUGUGCCCCUGCCUGUACCCUAACGGGAUGCACGACACUCCCUCUGAAUAUGACCUCUCAUCCCGCAUCCGUAACAUACUGGCAUGUCCAGGUAGUAGACUCCCGAAUGUAUCCUCCCACACUUAGGGCAUGGGGCCCUCUGCUGCUGCUGGAAUCUCCCUCCUGAUCGGCCCUGAUGGUGGGACCCCCUGCUACCCUAACCGGGCCUAAAGCGACUCCCUUGUUGAUGACCGUGCCCUGAUGGCGGGGCACUAGCUGAAGAUUGAGCAUAAGAUUGGGGCUGCCCUAAUGAUCCUCCCCAAAAAGCUGAUCUCCCACCUCCGAAUGAAUCCCCAAGGUUGCCCGCUGAUCGGGCCCUACUACUACUUUCCCGUUCCAUCCUGAGAAUUAAUUUAUGAGCCUCCGUAGCUUGGGCAAAUGCCACAAUCUUUCCAUAGUUCAUGUCAGAAUUUAGAGCAGCUGUGGCAGCCUCAUUAAUAACCCAAGGGCUAAGGCCCUACACAAAUCGACGCACCCUAGUCUCCAUAGUCAGCAUCAUAUGAGCAGCAUACUUUACAGGUGCACGAACUCCUUGUGAUAUUCCCACACACUCUUACUACCCUGUUUAAGGGUCUCAAACUCCACAGCACGGGCUGCCUUAGUCUCGGCAGGAAAGAAAUGGUCUAUGAAGGCAUCCGCAAAAUCACUCGAUCCCGCCGGAGGGCUCCCCUCCUCACGGGAAUCCUCCCACAUCUCAAACCAGGAAUAUGCCACCCCUUUCAGAAGAUAGGAGGCCAACUCUACUCCCUCUGUCUCUAUAGCACGCAUAACUCGGAGAGUCUUAUGCAUCACAUCAAUGAAAUCUUGAGGGUCUACCCCGGGAUCAGUACCUGUGAACACUGGAGGGUCUAACUGAAGGAACAUGUUUACCCUGGAACCGGAAGAAUCUCCUUGCAAGCUAUAUGAGGUGGGUGCAACAUUUGACCUCUAAGCCCGGGAAGCUACUAACUGAGUUAGCAUCUGAAUAGCUCCCCUAAGAUCCCCAUCGGAAAUACCACGACCAAGAGCUGGGGUUGGAGGUGGAACAGGUAUAUCGGCGGGAGGGAUUGUGGCAUCCUCCGCGGGCGUAGGAACUGGGUUAGUCUGUUCUGGAGUAGACGAAUCAGGCAGUGUGAUAGUAGGGGGAUUAUCCUCACCCGCAUUAUCAAGUAAGGGAUCAACAACAACUCCUAGGGUGGUAUUGGCUUAAUGGACAAUUCUUUCUCUCUUCUUAGUUGCCAUUUACUGAAAGUUAGAACAAUGCACGAGUUAGGGGAAAACAACCUCAUGUUCUGCUCUAUCGCACGAUAUAGAACAACAAUGAAGGGUAUCAUUCUUGAAUGUCCAAGUAGCCCCCUAAUUAUAGAUGUGGUCAACAACAAACCAAUAAGAAGGGCUCUACUAGACACGGCUCCAAGACAUCCUAGGACACAUUAAAACCUUAAGCUCUGAUACCAAGUUUGUCAUGCCCCAACCUCGGGGAGCACGAUCGGUGCUCUACCGAGUGAACCCGGUCAAGCAAGCCUAGUAAACCUUUCCUACCCAACUCAUUCAUGGUCCAAAAUAGGGGAAAGAUCAGUUAUAUAAAUAUAUAAACGUUGCUAGUUCAUUUUUCAUUAUAUACAUUAUGCCAUAGUUAAGUUUUCAAAAUACAACUCGGUCCAACGACCACCACAACAUACAUACAUGACCCAUAUAAACGUCUACGGAGCCUCUAAGGGUACAAAAGAGCAACAUGACAAUGCCGGCAACAAGGUCCCGGCUAUACCUCAAAAUAUGAAAGCUUAUACAAACGAAAGACUGCAUGACCCCAGGAAAAAUGGGAAUUACCAAGACUGCUUUGAUGAGUGAGAGGGAGAGCACCACUAUCUGCUAUAUGUGAUGGAACCACCUACAUCCAUUCAAAGAUGUAGCGCCCUCGACAAAAGGGGCGUUAGUACUGUCGAAUAGUACUAGUAUGUAAGGCAAACACUAAUCUUAGUAGAAUGAACAGUGAAACAAAGAGAAGGCAGUCAUAACAACCAAUAAGUACUUCACAGAAAUACAAAGAAUCACCAAGUAAGGAUCACAUAAUUUCCAACUCAAUCUUUCCAUCUUUUUAGGUUAAUAAUCUUUAGUGCCAAAGCCACAACUCACAAUGCCACCGUGUUUUUACACGGAGUCCGGUCUCGGCCCAACCGGCUAAGCCAUCUCAAGUGAGACAUAUCCAUAUCCACAUUGUAAAUCAAUGUUCCAACACAAAUUCCACCAUGUGUACAACAUGGCGUCCUAUCUCAGCCCGAUCGGCUAAGCCAUCUCACUUGAGACAUAACCUCUUUCAAUUGUUCACUCAAUUCACAACUCUUUCCCAUCUUUUGUUACAUGGUACAAACAGCCUCAUUUAUUAAGUAGUUAUUGGCACUUUGGAACAUUUUACAAUUCAAGUCUUUCCCUUUUUAUUCGUUCAAGUAACAUCAUCAUUCAUGUCGAUAAGAACCAUCACAUAAGGAAUUUUACACAUAAGGGAAGGAGCUUGGAAAAUCAUAGUUACGUUCUCAAUUAGCAUGAUGACAUGGUAAACAUCUAAAACAAUUAGGGAACAUGAAUCUUCCAACACAACACAUUAAGGCAAACAAUUCUAGUAUGAUCAAGUCGGAACUUACACCAAAUAUUCGGACACCAGGAGGUCGAUUCUAGGAAGAAAAGAGUUAGCCAUACAUACCUCAAUUGCGCUUCUUUAGACUCUAGAAUUAUCCGGAACUCUUAGCAACCUCAAUCUAUUUUUGCAAUAUACAAAUUGAACCCAAAAUUAGAAAAAUGUUCAUAGUUCUAGUUCACUUUUUAUUUUUCCCACACUCUUUAUCACAUGCAUGCAAGAUAAACAACCCUCACACCCAUGAACCAUCUUAUUAAUACCCCAUUAUAGCUAUAUUUGAAAUUAAGAGUUGGGGUGAUGAAAUCUUACCUUUUUGGAUGAAGAAUUUGGUACUCUACUUGAAUAUUUCCAAGAUUUAAGUGAUGGUUGAAGAUUAAUUGAUGGGACUUAGGCCCUCUCUCUAGAACCCUCUCUCUCUCACACUAGAAAUACCAGAAAUGAGCUUCAAAAUAGACUAAAUGGUGUUUUAACGGAAUGGGGGUCGGAUUUUAAAUUAAGAAAAAUGGUUCCCCGACACAGUUAUGCGGUCGCAUAUGCGACUGCAUAAUGGUUAUGCGGUCCACAAACUGACCGCAGAAAUGGCCCUCAGGGGCCUGAACUUACGGCCCAGGUAUGCGACCAGUAUGCGGUCUGCAUACUUGUUCUGCGGUCGCAUAAUGCACCGCAGAGCUCCCUCCGCAAAAACCCAAGAAGGGUUAUGCGAUCGAUAUGCGGUCCGCAUAGUGGUUAUGCAGUCGCAUAAUCGACCGCAAAGCUGACCUCAAAUUGGCCAACAUACUGCUUCACUCUGCGGCCAUUAUGCGGUCCGUAGAGUGAUUAUGCGGCCGCAAAAUGGGCCGCAGAAACGCGUCCUUUUGCGAAACAUUUUCCUCUAAGUCCGUGGGGUACUGUUCAAUAUAAAAAGUCUGAACCGCGACGAAGAAUUUCUACUAUAAUAACGCAGGAAUCUCUCUUGGCUCCACGAAACCCUGAGUUUUUGGUUUAAAUUUUUACGGGUCCUUACAUAUGUGAUCCAACUAAAGUGGUGUUCAAGUUUGUCGAUUGUGAAUUGGUGCCAAUACUGGAUGAUGUUACUAGCUUCAUUGAGCUGUCGUUUGCCAGGAGAAAGCUGAUACUGCUAGUUACCAUGCCUAGCCACAUGUUCCCCGAUGCUUUGGGUCUGACACGUAAUCAGAAUCUGAGGAUCAUUAAAGAUGGAUGGGCAAUCUUGGACCAACUGUUCGACAGGUUCGGGCAUCGAGAAAGUUACGAGUGGUAAAUAGGGGUGUUUCAAUUUGAUCAAGCAACCUGGGAGAGUCUCCAUCCUUUGACCUUCUCUUUGGCAUUGUUAGGAUUACUAGUCUUCUUACAAAGGAAAGGGCGAAUCAAUAUCAACUUGUUGCCCGUGGCCUUGGCAACUUUUGGGGGAAAUCUCCAUGUCACCCUGGUCCCUAUGAUAUUAUCAAAAAUACUUUGAGUCUGACCGCAUGUUUCAGAGGGUAUGACUACUUCAAAGGCUACAACUUCCUACUCUAGAUAUGGGCCGUAGAACACCUUUUUCAAAGAGGGGCCAUUAUCGACUAUAUUUAGGUGUCUGUAACAUGAUUAGGAGUCACAAUGAGAGAAUGAGACACUAGGUCUCACUGCACGGGCAAGGUAAAUGGAGAGACAUACUGACUCACCUAAGUGGAGAAUGGAUAAACUAGAAGUUCUUGUGCUUAAGUGGCAGGGAAAUUUUGAGGACCCCCGGAAAAUACUUCAUCGAGCUGGUGGGACUUGAAGGAAUUCAGCUGUAUGCACCUCUACGAGUUCUCAGGCAAUUUGGUCUGAUCCAGGAUGUACCCCUCUGGUCGAGGACAACUCUUUAUGAAGACGACUACAACGGUCAAAUUGCAAUCCUAAAGAGUGAGGAGACUUCAUGACAAGUGGAAUGACUUAAUCAUGAUGCGGAUGGGUCUGAAUUUAUGAUAUACUCCAAAAUACUUCGUAUAGAUCAAUGAGGAGGAUCAGCUGGCUCGACCGAGCAUAGAGGGAGUGGCCGGGCUAGAAGAUGCAGCAACAGCCUUGCAAAUAUAUCACGAGAUUUUGCCUCAUUACCUCAUUACCACUGCCAUGCAUCGGCAAGUGGUCCCAGGGUUAGUUGAUUACAUGUUGCCACCUCCAAAGGAUGACGACCGAGUGAUCGAGUAUAUACAGAUUAAAUCAGAGUUAGAACCAGAACAGGAUCCUGAAGAAUAGCAUGGGUACAACAACGAUGAGGAAGAAGAAGAAUUUGUAGAAGACCCCAAGGAGGAGCCUGAAGGAGAGGACUUGGGAGAUGACUCCAGGGAUGAUUAUUAGUGGCUGGUUGAUUUCCCUCUAUCUUACACCCUUUUAUCUUGUACCCUUUUCAUUUACCUAAGGGCAACCCUGUGAGCCCAUGUAACUUUGUGGAUGUUGGAAAACAAUGUUGUAACCUUCGCUCCCACCUAAUGUAAUCCAAAUAUUAUUAAUGAACAACCAAAGUUUGCUCUGGAUCUAAACGUGUCAAAAUCUAAUUGUUCGUCGAACAUUCGCGACAUAGGCAUACCUCCUGCAAAGAGACAUCCCUAUGCAUCUUAGGAAACGCGCUUAUCUUGAAUGCAUAAACUAACUACUCUAUGUGCUUAUAUUUGUUCAAUUGCUGAAACUAACUUCUGCUCUUCUUUCCUUUUAUUUUUCGCAUUACUUUAUUACUAUUCCUCGAAAAGAGAGGUCAGUUUGUGUUAUCACGAAAAGCUGGCUGAACCACCAUAAAACCUGAUAUCAAAAGGGAAGAUGUCUACAACUGAUGACCCGGCCGAAAACCCUCUAGUAAUAGCUGACAACCUAGGGAAAUAGGGGGAAACGAAUUAUACUCGCAACUGAUGGCGCAUCUGGCUGUAACGACGAUUCCGCAACCACCCCGCUUCCCUUCAUUGGACUCAAUCCCUGAUCACUUCCCUUCAACCAUAUGACAAACAAACAGUACCCCAACCACAGUCACUACAAAUCCCGCAACCCAAGUUGUACCACAUGUAACCCCCGCAAAUUCGCCAAAUUCUCCUAUACAUACCCCUUAUGUCCCGAAUCACAUCCAGACACUAGAAAACCCACCAGUCACUACCAACUCAGUUUAUACCCAUCCCCACAACAAUUUCACUUUUGCCAAAAAUCAGGCCCAGCACAUACCUGCAGCACACACCGCUACACACGAUAGGUAUGUUCCAUAUGUAUAUGCCACCUCAGAACCUACCUUUAUAUCCCGUCACGGUCAGAGUGCCAUAUGAGAUCGAUCAAUAUUCUAAGAUGGUGAGAGAAGCAAAGUACAAAGAAAAAGAGUUAUCAGAGCAGUUACGAGUGUUGAGAAAGCAAAUGAAGAAUCUCCAGGUUGCUCAAGGGAGCGAGAGCCUCGAUUAUGAAGCCUUGUGUAUACACCCUGAUGUUCACAUGCCCGUACGGUACAAACUUUCAAAGUUCGACAUCUUUGAUAGAAUGGGUGCUCCCCAUGCGCACUUGAGGGCCUACUGCGACAAGCUGGUCGGGGUAGCAUAAAAUGAAAAGCUGAGAAUGAAAUAAUAUAUAAGUAGUCUGACAGGGGAUGUGCUCACUUGGUGCACCUGCCCGCGAGAGACUGGAGAGGAUGGCAAGACAUGGCGUAGGACUUUAUGAACCAUUUUUGGUUUAACACCGAAAUCACUCCAAACAUUUUCGCUCUAAUGAAUUUGCAUAAGAAACCAUCAGAGUCAUUUCAAGAGUACGCCCGGCGCUAGAGGUCGUUCGCUGCUAGGACCCAAACCCCGUUAGAUGGUAAUGAGCUGAUCAAAUAUUUCAUCAGAGCUCAAGAAGGAAUUUACUUUGAAAAUAUUGACCCUCCUAUGCACCCCGACCACGCAAAAAGUUUGAAGAAAGAAAUCCCAGAAACUCCCAGAAAAAAAUCCCAGAAACUAUACCUAGUGGAAGGGAGAAUUCUCGACCAACCUUCCAAAUACUUCAUGCCACCAAGCGAUGUGCCUAUCAGGUGUUCCUAGGCAUGGUACUGAGGACCGCUUCAGGCAGAAGAAUGAGAUUGAGUCGCUGAUCAAGACUGGAGCCAUCCAAUGUAUUACGGCUCCACCAAAUGUGAAUCAUAACCCACUGCUGAAGAUUAUGAUCUGAAGGGGACCAUCGUCACAAUUGGGAAUGUCGAGGCUGCAAGAGUUCCACCCUGAAAGACUAUGUUGAUUAUUGUACAGUUGAAACCUCCGGUGAUGGUCCAGACGUACCAACAACAGUCCACCACCACCGUCAGGAAUGAGGAGAAUAGAAAAUACAAGACAGUUAUUUGGACGUACUAGUAGAAAGGAAAUUGUAAAAUGACAGCUUCUGUAGUUCCUCAUGGGAUGACCAGGUCAGGAUGGUGCUAUGCUCCAGAAAAGAUAAACUGAGGAAAUCCAUGUAGAGAAUAAAAUUAGAGGAGGAAUAUAACGGAUGCCGAGGCGGCAUAAUUUUGGAGGAAGAUACGAGUUAAAGAAUAUUUCUUGGAGGAAUUGUUGAAGAAAACCCAUGCACACAUAUCGAUUAUGGAUCUACUGAUGAGUUUCGAUAGUCAUAAAGAUGCCUUGAUGAAGGUGUUAAGUGGAGUAAGUGUGGCGAGCAACACCACUAGCGAGGCAUUAGCGGAAACAAUUGAAUUGAUGGUCGAAGAAAAUAUGAUAUCCUUUCAAAGAGACAAACUUCCUGUAGAAUGUGUGGAUUAUAACAGAGCCCUACACAUCACAGUCAAGUGCGGGGAUAAAGUGGUGUCUCGAGAGCUUGUUUACGGAGGAUUCAGAGUGGAUAUGUCACGCCCCAAACUUGGGGAGGCGUGACCGGCACCGAGUGCCGUACUGGCCCGAGCGAACCACUUUGUAACUCUUUUUUUUUCUCAUAACUAUCAUGGGCCAACAUGGUCAUAACUCAUAAUGUACAAUUGUAAGUGGAAAACACUAUAUCACAGAACCAUUUUUCUUGACAUCAAAGCCUCUAAGAUUAUUUGACAUCAAAUGGGACAGGGUACCGGCCUACCGAUAAGUCUUUAGCAAAACUCUGAUACGAUGACUCACAGACUCGGCUGCACUCCGAAUGAGGUAGAGUCUUGCCAAUCCUUUGCUGAAUGCCAAUCUCGUCUACUAUAAGGUUUCAUCAAACUGAUUAUCUAUACUUGCAGGCAUGAAUGCAGCGUCCCUAACAAAAUGACAUCAGUACGAAUAAUGCACCGAGUAUGUAAGGCAUGUAAAUCAGUAUAUAAAGGACAUGGGAGAAACAUGGAAUAAAGGACUUAUCCUGUAAGUCUGGAUAGCUCUGUAAAUUAUGAAAUAUUUAUAAUGUCAUGCAUAUGUAUAUAAAUAUCAUGUAAUGCAUAGGUCUAUACGUACAUAACAUCAUCAAGCCUCUGAGGGCAUCCCAUCAUAUCAUCUCGGCCACUGUGGGCAAAUUAUCAACGUAUAGCAGCUGAUCAGGUGGUGGUGCGUAUAUAACGCCGUAACCCUUUCCCAUAUCCCAUAUACAUAUAAUAUACAUAUAUACAUGUAUACAAUGCCAUCUGGUCAUGGGUCAAUGUAAAUGAAUGCAAUGCAUGAGAAGUACAUCAAUAAAAUCUUUCAGAGUGUCAUAAGACCAUUAUGCCUUUGAUUAAUAUCAUGAAGUAAACUUUAUCAACUUACGUAUUUUUUGAGACCCAUGAACAGACGAUAGAAUAAUAUGACACAUGGAGAACCAGGAAUAUAAGUAUCUCUAGCAUUUCUAUGAAUAGAGUCAAUUAUGGAAAUUUUGCACUUGCUCGUUUCGUUUGUAUCGUAUGGAUCAUGCCAAAAAGAAAGAAGGGAUAGCCUUAACAUACCUGGAUUAGGGAAAUAUCCGUAGUUGUGACAAAAUAUUUUCAUGUUUCAUCCUCAGACAUCAGAGAACUAAAACUAAGUGUUUGCUUGGCGGCUUUGCUUCUACACACAGAUCUCUUAAGUUUGACAUAAUACCGGGAAAAGUUAACCUCUGACGCUAAACAAAUACAUGUGUAGAAAGCCGAAGACAACUAUCCCUGGUUUUCAAAGGACACAUUUUUCCUUAAGAAUAUGGAAGAAUAAGAAGUAAUGUUCACCAGUAAUACAAUACUAAUGUUUAAUAUCUAAGUUUCAACUCGAGUUCCGAUGAUAAAAAGGAAACAAAGCAGUGGAUCAAGUUUGAGUAUGUACAUGUACAAACAAGGCGGAAAGAUAGUUUAGAGAUAUAUCCAAAAGAGCAAAAGUUUCAUGUAAAAAGAGUUGGAAAAUAAUGUACGCAUUUCUUUCCCAAAUAAUAGAAUCAAUGGUGUCUUGUGAUUAUCAUGUUAGGUUGCCACAUAAUCCAAAGUGACUAAGAGUCACUUGUUUGGAAAGUGGCUUGCUUCCACAUAAUCCCCUUGUUGGGGAAUUUAAACUUUAUCCAAUAAUCAAUUAGGUAGUAUUCUGCUACCCGGUAAUUACCCGCAUAAUUAAGAAUUGUCUCAAAUUACUUAAAAUACUACUCACUUUUAACACACUUUAUAUAACUUGCUAUCAUGGUCAUGUGGUACCAUAUAAAAUAAAUACAUCCACUAUUAUUUCAUUAAAACAUCCAUGUAAAAAUAUAUAUAUUUUCUCAACUUCUAAUUUUCCUAAUCUCAUAUAAAGAGUAAAAAUUUUCGUAUGCUUAAUUCUUAACAUGGUAAAAAGAUAACCUUCUUUUCUUGUGAGAAAAUAAUUUUUAUCUUUACAAUAAUAAAAAUCUCAUAAACUUUCUCAUAUUAUGUGAAUAAUUUAAAACAUAUUCGAAAGUAGUAAUAUUAAUAACUAUAUAAAAUCAUAUUUUUCAAACCAUUUUUUCUUUACAAAAAAAAAGUUCCACUAAAAAUACCAUAUCAAAUAUAUAUAUAACGAUAUCAAGGUUGGUAAACUUACGGGUUAUAACAGAAUAUGUACCCACUCUCUACUCUACGAUAGUUGAGUAUCCAUUUGAGAGAGGUGAAGGAAAGCCAUGUAAGAGUGAGAGAUUUCGAUGGGUCUCAAAAAGACGUCAUUGGAUAGAUCUACUCAGCCCUGCAAAUUGGACCAGUCGAGUUUCCAAUACUGUUUCAAGUAAUGGACAUUUUGUAUUCAUGUUACCUGUUGCUAGGAAGGCCCUGGAUACACAUGGCAGGGGCAGUUCCGUCCAUUCUCCAUCAGUGUAUGAAGUUCGAGUGGGAUUGCCAAGAGGUUGUAAUUGACGGUGAAUGGAGCCAGACAGCUUACCUACAACAUGCAGUUCCCUUUAUGGAAUGAUUGAAUGGGAUAACCUUUUAUGCGGUCGAGAUCAUGCAGACCAUGAAGAUAGAGAAGAAUGAGCAGAAUCUGGGUAUGCAAUCACCAUACAGAUCAAAUAAGGCAAUUAGGGAGAUGAUAAAGUACGGGUACCGACCAGGGACCGGGCUAGGAGACCGGUCAAAUGGGAUAAUAGAGCCGAUUGAGCUGAAAGGGAAGAAAGGCACUGCUGGCUUAGGGUACCAACCUCUAACUGGAAAGACUUACACCGGUAACUUUAGGAAGAAGGGUUUUGUGCCAGAGCGUGUUUCCGAAGCACCGUGUGGCACCUGAAGCACUGACUAAAUCGGCCUGUGAGGAUGACCUCUACCAAAUGAACCUUUACCUCCAGAUGAGGCACCACUGAAACCACCAAAAUGACGAGGCCUCUUCUCAGAUACCGCCUCUCUACCCUGACCACGAAUCCUCUCAAUCUACCUAGCAAUCUCUAUAACCCGCUAAAAAGAAAUAUCAUCCCCGGUCUCCUUGGCCAUCUGUAGCAUGAUACCAAAAGUAAGGCCAUCUAUGAAUCUCCUCACCCUCCCCUUCAUACUAGGGAUCAAGAUAAGUGCAAGGCAAGAUAGGUCCACAAAUCUGGUCUCGUACUAGUUAACAGUCAUGCUACCCUGAUGUAGAUGCUCGAACUGGCUAUGGUACCCCUCUCUCAAAGCAAAAGGAAUGAACUUCUCCAAGAAUAGUUGUGAGAACUAAUCCCAAGUGAUUGGAAGUGAACCUGUUGGUCUGCCUCGAACAUAAUCCUGCCACCAUCUCUUGGCGGAACAGGUCAUCUGAAACACUAUGAAGUCGACUCCAUUGGACUCCACAAUAACCAUGUUGCGCAACUCCUCAUGGAAACGGUCCAAAUAAUCUUGUGGGUCCUUAGAAGGUGUACCACCAAAAUGAAUUGGAAAGAGCUUGGUGAACUUAUAAAACCUCUUCAAUCUCUUAGAAGACAUCGCAGGCCUCUCCCCGUACUGAGUAGCAGUAGCGGGCUGAACUACUCCAACUGCCGGAACCGCCAGAGUCUGAUAUAUGGAGCCAUCUGCUCCAGAGUGUGAGUAGCGGGAGUCUGGGCUCCUCUCACAAUUGAGAGACAGUCAGUGCCAUAGGAAAUACUCCAUCCUGGGCCACACUCUCCAUAAGGCCCACUAAGCAGACUAGGGCGUCUGAAGUACGAGAGUGGCUAUGAAUCCCUCUGGGACCUGAGCGGGUCCAACUGGUGCGGUCUGGACAGGUAUCUUCUCUUCCUGCGCUCCGACCCCUAACCCUGGUAGUGGGUGCAACCUGGGGCAUCGGCUCCUGCCCAGCUGUGUAUGUUGUGCACGUCCUAACGAUCUGCGAGGCAAAACGAAUAUAAUGAUUCAAACUUCAAUGAUAAAAUAAAAUUGCACAAUAGAGAAAGAAAGAAGUGAAAUUUUCCUAAAGACCUAUAGCCUCUAGAAGAUAAGUAUAGACAUCUCCGCACCAAUCCUCUAGACUCUACUAAGCUUUCUCAUGACUCACGAGACCUAGGCAACCUAGUACUCUGAUACCAACUCAUCACGAAUCAAAAUUACAACCAUGGGGUCGUGAUGGUGCCUAACAUCCACUUGCUAGGCAAGCCAACGUUAGAUUAUUACUUAACCAAUUUUAAAAAAAUAUAACAAAGUAAUGAUAAUUAACAACUGACAAACUCGGAAAUGAAUGAAGUAUUUAUAUAAAUAACAUGGUAUUAAAUCUACUCCCAGAAUUCAAUCCACAUAGGAGCUAUAAUGCUCGUACUCACUAAGCACAUGUGCGUCAACAUCAAGAUUGAUAGAGUACACUAAUGUAACUGUCGGGAGAUGGGUAGGUAUAAUGUAAUAUGGAAAAAGGCAAGCACAGCUAAAGUGCAAUAAGCAAAUCAACACGAUGAGAGGCAUCUCGCCUAUAUAUCGCCACAAGGCCUAAACGGGAUUAUAACAUGCGUGCGAAUAAUCAAGUAGCCUUACAACAUGUCAUAGCAUAAGGGCGAAACAUAUAACAUAGACCAUGGCAUCAAUAACAUCCAUUAUGCCCGAUGAUUUACCCACGGUAGCAAUUGCAUAAGAAUAAGCAAACCCGAUAUGAUACAGAAUACACAUUCGUAUUAGGCUUAAAAAAAGCCCCCAAACCAUUUCUGAUCAUUCCCAAACAGGUAUACAACCUUCCAAAGAUCCAUAGCAACCUACCCAUAACACAUACCCUCUGCUAUCCAGUUCUUAGAAUAUCUUCACAAUCCAUAACCAAGGAAUAGUCUGCCUACGAGAAAAUCCAGUCUUUAAACCUCAUGAAUACCGGAAUCUUCAUAUCUGAUCCCAACUCCACUAAUCGAAUGGCUGAUAUAUCGCUCAUACUCCAUCAUCUUAAGGAAAAUACUAUCAUAGAUCUUCUGCGCCAUGUUGCAAAACCUGAACCUCAGCAGCCCAAAACUAGGAGAUCACCGUAAAACUAGUUAAGCAUCUGCAAGUCAAAAUGCAAUGCGUCUCUCAAAAUGCACACCCUCCUCAAGCGAUACCAAAUAGUGCCAGCAUUCUUUUAAACAUCUGAACUUGUACGUGCCCUCUAGAACUCAUACAUUCCCUUCAAAACAAAACUGCAACCUUGUGCUCGCUACUUGCAAACCCACAUGGCGCACCGCAACUAUCAUGCUAACUCAUGAAAAUACGAAAACCUCAUAAUCAACUCUGAACCACAAGCAGAAUGAACACCUCAUCUACUAAGGACCUUGAAUUUACUCGAUCCAUGAGGACAUCUCCACACGCAACACACCUUCUAUAACCAUAGAAGACAUCAACCCAGAAACCAAUCCACACGCAACACACCUUCAAAAUCGAUUAACACACAAUCAAGUCAUCAACGUUGAUCUCCCUCCAACUCAACCAAGUCCCGCAGAUUGUAAACCCAAAAGUAACUCAAUCCAAAAUGCCCGCUCUAAAGGGACAUUAUGAAAAUUCAAAGUUGUUUCUUGCAUCUCUCUAAUACUACUAUGUGGAGUCAAUAAUGAUGUAGAAGUACCACAAAUCCAGACACCAUCCACUACUAAUCUCAAGCCCUAGCCAUACACAUGUUCGAAAAUCCUCAAAUGCUACAUAUGAAUCUGGGACUCAUUAGAAACUCUUCUACAGUCAUUAACCUAGCUCUAAUUCUCUAUUACAUAACCAAUACGCACCGAAUAACUAGCACUUCACCAGCACAUGAAUAUCCCAAGAAGUAACCAAGGUAUUCCUUUUCCUUGCACACUUAGUACAUAAACUAAUAUAAUACAUUACUCUGCAAUACGCGUUGAUAGUAGACUCCCCCACUAGGCUCAAAGCCAUAGAACACAUCACAUGUAACCCAUAGUGCCCUUCCUUCAUAUCUUCCCCUAAACCACGUUUUCAAUCAGCUGAAUACUUCAUAAACUUAUGUAACUUUAAUCACAAAACACUCCAAGGACUCUGCCAAUUUCAUACCCAUCCUCGUGACAGUCAGCCAAGUUCCUCAAAUUCUCCAAAAUGAUAAGAUAAGCACCCUAGAUAGGGCUACAUCAGGGAUCGGCUCUUAGCCCGUUUUUGUUUGCCUUAGCGUUAGAUGUGCUGACGCUUUACAUACAAGGGGAGGUGCCAUGGUGUAUGCUAUUUGCCUAUGACAUAGUCUUGAUUUACAAUACAUGAGGCAGAGUUAGUGCUAAGUUGGAAGUUUGGAGACAAACGCUGGAGUCUAAAGGUUUCAAGUUGAGUAGGUCAAAAACUGAGUACUUUGAGUGCAGUUUCAGUGAUAGGGGAUGCAUGAAGAAGAGGUAGAAGUGAGGAUUGGUACUCAGGUCAUCCCUAAAAGAGAUAGUUUCAAGUAUCUUGGGAUUUUUAUUCAAAGCAACAAGGAGAUUGACGAGGAUGUUACUCAUCGUAUUGUGUGAUACGAAUGUGCCACAUAGAAUUAAGGGAAAGUUCUAUAAAGUGGUGGUUAGACCGACUAUGUUGUAUAGAGCUGAGUGUUGGCCCGUCAAGAAGUCCCAUGUCCAAAAGAUGAAAGUAGUUGAAAUGAGGAUAUUGAGAUAGAUGUAUGGGCAUACUAGGAAAGAAAUGAUUAGGAAUGUCGUUAUUAGUGACAAGGUAGGAGUGAUAUAUGUGGAGGACAAGUUGCGGGAAUUGAUACUUAGAUGGUUCGGGCAUGUGAAGAGGAGAGACACGGAUGCUCCGGUGAGGAGGUGUGAGAGGUUGUCCAUGGCGAGUUUGAGAAAGGGAAGGGGUAGGCCUAAGAAGUAUUAGGGUGAGGUAAUUAUGCAGGACAUGUCAUUGCUUCAGCUUACCGAGGAUAUGACCCAUGAUAGGAAAGUGUGGAGGUCGAAGACUAGGGUUGUCGAUUCACACGUAGUAGUGUGUUCUUCCUAGGUCGACCAGUAGUACUAGGACUAUUUUGUGAUUUCCAAUUUAUGGUUCUUUAUUAUGCAUGCUAUGGCAUUCAUGUCUGUAACCACGUUACAUUGUUGCUAAUAUUCUUUGCUACUUGGUUGCUUUAUCUUCAUUGUUCGUUGAGCCAAGGGUCUAUCGGAAAGAGCUUCUCUAUCUCUAUGAGGUAUGGGUAAGGUCUACGUACACACUUCCCUCCCCAGACCCCAUUUAUGGGAUCAAACUUGGUUUGUUGUUAUUGUUGAUAAGAUAAGCACCCCACUGAAUAGAAGCCUCAUACGAAACACACGCCUCAAAUCUUCACGCAGGAGAUAACCUACCGGCUAGACACAAAUCAAUAUCUUCUCAUGACCCCACCAUGGUCACAACAACUAGGCAACUGAUUACUAAUCCUCCCUGGUCUACUCUCGUAGAGAAGAUACAAGAAUUCGCUUCAUCCAAAAAAUGAACUACUGGGUGUAACGACCCGGCCAACCGUUUUGCGUAUUUUAGCCCAUGUACCCUAUUUAUUUCCUCCUAUAUGUUGUAUUAUGGUUAUGUGCUUUGUCGGGGGUGUUUGGUUUUUGUUUUGGGUGAGUUUGGGAAUUAAAUGGGACUUAAGUUGGAUGUAGUUUGACUUUUGUGUAGACGACUCCGGAAUGGAGUUUUGACAGUUCCAAUAGCUGCGUAUGGUGAUUUUGGACUUAGGAGCAUAUCCGGAUGUGGAUUUGGUGGUCCGUAGGUCGUUUUGGCUUGAAUUGGCAAAAGUUAGAAAGUUGAAGGUUUGGAAGGUUGCAAAGUUUGACCGGGUGUGAUUCAGAUUGACUCCGGAACCAAUUUGGAGUUUAUGCACUACUGAAGCACUGCUAUGUCUGGUGCCACCUGCACACUUUGGGCCGCAGGUGUUGCACCAUAGAAGCGGCCUUCGAGCCUCAGAAGCAAAGUUGGCCUUGCCCAGCUGGGACCGCAGAUGCGGAGGGGUCAUCGCAGAAGCAGAAUUUAGGAAGGCCUUGGGCAGGACUACAGGUGCGGUCAAUUUCACCAGAGAAGCGGGCUCGUAGGUUCGAGCAAGUGGUCCGCAUAAGCAGAUUCUCAAGACUUAAGCUGGAACCGCACCUGCGAUGGUUUUUCCGCGGGUGCGGCGUCGCAGAUGCGAUCCUUAGCCCGCAGAUGCGAAAUUGCUGGGGCACAAAAGGCGUCUUUGAGGGUUUGAAUUUCAUUUUCAUUUUUUGGACCUAGAAAGCUCGGUUUGUGGAGAUGUUUUGAGGGUUCUUCAAGGAAAUCAUUGGGAUAAGUGAUUCUAACUCGGUUUUGACUAUAUUACAUGAAUCCAUUAUUAUUUUCAUCAUUUAAAUAGUGAUUUGAGUUGAAAAUUUGGGGAAAAUUCUGAAAACUUCCUAGGCUAAAUUUUGGGGAUUUGGAAGGCGAUUUGAGGUAGUAUUUGAGUAAAUCUUGUGUGGUUGGACUCGGUAUCGAAUGGUUGUUCAAAUUUCUUAUUUUUUGUCAGGUUCUGAGAUGCGGGGCCGGGUUGACCUUUUGAGUUGAAUUUUUAUUUCACUUUAAAGAUCGUAAAUUUAUUGUUCUGAAUAGUUUCCUAUAGUGUAUAUUUAUGGUAUGAAGUUGUUUUGGCUAGAUUCGAGCCAUUAGGAUUUGGAGAAUCGAGGGAAAGGCUUACUAGUGAAUUGAGUUAGCAUGUUUUGAGGUAAGUGACUUGUCUAACUUUGCGUCGGGUAGUUACCCCUUAGGAUUGGUGUUGGUUUGUGUUAAUUGUGAUAUGUGAAAGCCGUGUACGCAAGGUAAAGAGUGUGUACACGGGCUAAAUGUGGAAAUUGACCGGUUUUAGCUAUGUAGAUUCCUAUCACACCUUAAUUGAGUUGCCUUAACAUGUUAUAUUCAUUGUUAUUAGUCUAUCUUCACAUGCCCUACUUGUCUUAUCUCUUACUUGUUAAUUGUCUUUACAUUUUUAGUUGAAGUAUUGUUUCCUCUAUUCCUUAUUCAUUAUUUAACCGUUAAGUUCUUCACUUGAAGUUGUUAUUCUUGGAAUAUCUUGUUGUUGAAAUUGGUAUAGAGUUAUAAUGGCCGUGAUUUACAUUGAGGCAAAGUUGUAAAGUUGUGAAAUACUAUUCUUGUUGAGUUAUUCACCUUCAGUUAUUAUUGUUGAGACUCUUGUGCAUAUUGUGAUUUGAGCCAUGGGCUAUUUGUUGUGAAAACACUAUUGUUGUUGGUUUCUUUGCAAGUUGUAAUAUUGGGUAUAUGAUGUGCAAUUUGUGAUAUGUUAUGAUAUUGAUACGCAUGCGGUGAGAUAAGGUGGGCUUGAUACGUGUGUUGCUAGUAGAGGAACUACUUGAAGCCAUGCAGUGUGAUAAGGUGUACUAAAAUGCGGGACGCUAUUUUAGGAAAAAUAAUUUUCAAAACUAAAUGCAUGGCUCCCACGGGGAUAUAAGAAAAGAUUGUGAAUUAUUUUGUGAUUUGAAACUAUGAGGAGGUACCUCAGUAGUGACUCUUGUUGAUACUUUUCUAUUACCUAACUUGUGUUUUGGUUGCUUUAUUUCCUUGGCAUAAUAUUCCUUGUUUUCUUCUGUGAUGCAUUAUUUGUCUUAGUUCAGUGUAGCCAAUCUUGGUAUAUUGCUUAAUUGUUUCAUUUCCAUUGUUAUUAUUAUUACUCUCUUAAAUACUCAUUUAGUUUCUUAUUUAUUCUAGUAGGGCCUUGACCUGACCUCAUCACUACUCUAUCGAGGUUAGGCUUGGCACUUACUAGGUACCGUGCUGGUGUACUCAUACUACGCUUCUGAACAUCUUUUUGUGCAGAUCCAGGUACCUCCUACCAGUCCAGGCACUAGUGAGAUGAGCUCAGCUUCAGAGACUUCAAGGUAUACCUAUCGAUGUCCGCGGGCCUCGGAGGCCCCCUCUAUCUAGUCUACUUCAAUAUUCUUUUCCUUCAUAGACAUUGUUGUAUAGGGAUGACCAGUACUUAUUCGUAGAGCUUGUGACUUGUUAUCACCAGAUUUUGGAAAGUUUGUUUAUGUUGAGUUGCAGAGUUUUCUUUAUUAUAAUUAUUGAGUAUUUGAG
rnacentral:lncRNA from 1 species